rnacentral:misc_RNA from 1 species
GUUGCUUGCCCGGCAUUUGAGUUGGGUUGGGUGGCUAUUAGUUUGAUGGCUUCGGGGAUGUCUACCGUAAAGGUGCAUGAGUGGUGUUUGGUUUGUUACGGGUGGUUGGCUCUUUGCUUGCGCAACAACUUCCACCUGACUUACCUCUUCAGUCUUGUGUCAAUGCUUGUUUUGCAUUGAUUUCAUGGUGGGUUUCCUGUGUUGCAUGCCUAACUGAUGGUAUCAUUCGAAUAAUUGAUGUCCAUUUUCAUCUUGUGUCGCACAUGUGAUAUGAGAUGAACCUUGAAGCAGCCUUUGUGUUCCACUCUUUUGAUGCACAUGCAUUGAUUUUGUGGCCCAUUGAGUGUUGCUUUGUCUCUUGAAAUAUGGAACCUUGUGUGGGCAUGGAUCUUUACUAGUUUCCUUGUUUGCCCUAGUUUAGCUUUUCUGACGCGAUGGUCUAUCAUGUCUUAACGUGGUAGGCUAUAUCGAAAA